AGGGCCUCUAGGAAGCCUGAGGCGCAGAUACCUGCCUCCUGUCCGGGAGCUUGCUUAACAGGAUCCUGCUGAAUUAGCCUGUGAGUUGUGUCACUGUGUCAGGGAUCAGAGGCCAGCCUCGAACCCAUGGAGGUCCUUGAAGAUGGGAUCACACUACUGCUAAUGGCAGAACAGGUGUUCAGAGCAGGAUCAGGUACUGGGAACACUUCUUAAAGUCAGCUUUUGGUAAUAGUAGACAUUAAAGCCACUACACACCUCU